rnacentral:sRNA from 1 species
CCGCCUCCUGCCUUUAAUCUCCCUCUCCUCCAGCCAGGCCAGCUUCUGCUCAGCUGGAGUUCCCCUGAUUCUGAGUCUGGGCCCCCAGGAGGAAUUAUUCCUAAACCAGGAUUCCACAUCACAUCUCUGAGCUUUCCGGGCUGCUCUGUUUGUGUAGCUACAUAAUUACACCUCUCUUCGUGUUUCAUGUUUGACUAUCGACUGCUUCUAGGCAGACUCAGAGCAUGCAGAGCAUCCAUACUCUUUGAUGCGGAGGUCACAAACGUGAUCCUAAGGGAGGUUUCCACCAGAACUCUAGGACCAUGUAGGUGUUAAUGACGACUUGGCUUCAUGAGGAGCCGAAGUAGGAACUCGGCAGAAUGCAUUUCGAAGACAACACUGGGUCAG